rnacentral:rRNA from 1 species
GAGUUUGAUCGUGGCUCAGGAUGAACGCUGGCGGCGUGCUUAACACAUGCAAGUCGAACGAUGAACCUGGGUGCUUGCAUCUGGGGGAUUAGUGGCGAACGGGUGAGUAACACGUGAGCAACCUGCUCCGGACUCUGGGAUAACAGUUGGAAACAGCUGCUAAUACUGGAUAUGAAUCGCGAAGGCAUCUUCUGUGGUUGGAAAGAUUUUUCGGUUCGGGAUGGGCUCGCGGCCUAUCAGCUUGUUGGUGAGGUAAUGGCUUACCAAGGCGUCGACGGGUAGCCGGCCUGAGAGGGUGACCGGCCACACUGGGACUGAGACACGGCCCAGACUCCUACGGGAGGCAGCAGUGGGGGAAUAUUGCACAAUGGGCGGAAGCCUGAUGCAGCAACGCCGCGUGGGGGAUGACGGCCU